AAAAGGUCUGACAGAUACCCAAUCACUGUUUAACUGUUUUGACUGUUUUCAAGUAUGGCCAUCACUUUUUAAAAUGUUGCCACUUCAUGCUUGCCGAUACAGUCCAGCCGUCCAGUUAUUCCAUGAAACUGAAGCUCAGCACAACAGGAUUAGGUCACCAGCAAAGGUGUUGUCCAAAAGCAGCAAUAAAGAUGAACAGGGACAUUGUGUCUGGUAUGGUACCUGCAGAGUCUGUGAAUAAUACGCUUUCAAUUAUGCUUACUCAGGCAAAGCUAUGCCACUAGCAGACACUUAUCAUGUCAUGUCACACUCCUUUUCAGUGUGUCCGAACUAUUUGGUAAGUUCUGGUCCUGGAGAAGAACCCCAUUUUUUGCGGUGAUUCGAAGAAAAUCAACAAUUUGAUUAUCAACUUUGGGCAGGCCCUUAAUUUGGUGGGACGAUGCUCGAUUUGCCACAACUUGUGGAUGAUCUUUUGUAGCAUAACCUGCCAUAUGUUCGCAGUCGAAUCCUCUCCUACAACUUGACAUCAGAGCACUCAUAACUCCUGAAUCGGUUACAAAUUCUAUUGAAGUCGUCAAAGUGCUGGAAUAUUGAAUCUCCGAUACUUAUGUAUGACUGAAAUGUACGAUUCGUGUAAGGAAGUUACAAAUCCAUCUUCAAACUGCUUCAAACAACCUUGAUAUGCAGACUAUUUGUGGCCAGUGGGGCGAGGAUUGCUCUCCUCAGAGAUUGUUAGAUUUCAUGGGACUUGGCAUGGCCAAUCAAGGAUUCUCUACUUCCAGUACAUUCCUGACGGAGAGACUGUCACCGAUGUUGUCGAACUUUCUGCUCCUCCAGCUAUAUCCCCUUGCUACGAAGCU